UCAUAGUAAUUGCUUACACCACUAAACGUGUUACGUGCACAACCUUCUCAAUUCCUGAUUCUUUUUAAAAAAGAACUCUUCUCAAUUGCAGAUAGUGUGCAUCGUGGCUGUGAAUUUCCUUUUUUCCAAUGAAACCUAAUUACAGACAAUGGCAUCGAGGCUGUGAAUUCUUCAGUGAUUCUAAACUCAAAUUCAAUACUCCCCCUCCCCCUUCUACUAUAUAUAAGAUCCUGAUGUUCAAUUGUUUUUCACUCACUCUUGCUUUGUUCCUAUCUUAUUUCCUUGCUCUGAAGGAGAUUCAUUAACCAUGGAAAUCAAAGUUGAUGAUGUCUCAGAUGUGAAUCAUUCAAAGGAUACUUGGAACAUCGUUACAAAGGUGGUUCGUUUGUGGCUCAUUCAGAUGUGAAUCAUUCAGAUGCCAUAAAUCUGGCUCAUUUUCCUGAUACGAGUUUAUCCAUACAAUGUUGUUCAUGUCUUCUGUUCCAAUUUUCAUUGUUUUAUGGCAUCUUUAUAGACGCAUUAUACCCCAGGUGAGCUCAUACAUGGGUCGAGAAAUCUGCUUUCUUUCCUAUAGAUAGUUGCUAAUGCAAUUUGGUGCUUUUAUUGUUCUUUUUCUGAGCAACUCAUUUGCUGCUCAAAUGUCACAAUUUGAGUUUUCUAUGCAGUUUUGAUCAUGCCAUUUUGAUUACUUUCUGAAGGUCAUUUGAGCAGCACAUAGGAAAUGCUUUUGGAAACUCUAAUGGGUGUCAUAAAUUGGAAAGGACCAUUAUUUUGUUUUAAACUUUAAUUAUGAUACCAAAAUCCAAGUUUAUGGUUCUAGAAGAUUAUUUGGUAAAACUGACCAAUAUAUAUCUAUUAAUGGUCCUUUGUGAUGUUAAACAAAAAGGAAUAACAUGAUGUUAUAUGCAUACUGGUGUAAUAAGGAUAAAUGCUUGCUGCUCAAGCAGUUGUAAGUCACAUGUUAGGAUGUAACAUAAGAGUAAAUUACUUAGCUAUUGCUAGGUUAGUUAGGGAUUAUUACUGUAUUUAGUUAGUACUAGGAGGGGAUUAGCUAUAAAUAGAGGGAAAUAAAAUUAGAGGGAUAAUUUCUUGGUUAUUUUAAUUACUAUAAUUUUCCUUCAGAAGAAGAGAGAAAGAGGUUAAGGCCAUCAAGCUAAUGUUCCUUUUUUAUGUCAUUUUCAUCUUCUUAAAAGAGCAAGGGUUAUGAGAACCAUUUUUUGAUGUGUCACUUCCUCAUGCAUUCUGGUCUCAUUCAAUAUCACUGCCUCCUAAUACUGGUGUCCCCCUUCUCAUGAACUUAGCUAAUGUUCACUUUUUGAAGGUGUAACUGCUCAUGUUGAUAAAAUUAGCCAAUAAACUUCGUAACAUUAAAUUGUGGCAUUAAAUUGUAACUAAAUGGAAACAAAGUAAAUUAGAAACAAAGUUAUGAUGGUUAAGCUCAAGCAGUUUCUAUGAGUGAUCUUUGAUUGAAAGGGACUUAUUGUUUAUUUUGCAGAAAAACUAUAAGGAUUGGAUUUGAAGGCAAUGGUACUAUUAGUUCUUCAAUUAUUGAAUAUGUCAUGUCCCUUCUCCCUCAAUGAAUAGGACCAUUUCAAGCUGUCACCCUUUUUACUCUUAUUUAUUUAUUUAUGAUUAGCAGUUAAAUAUUGUGUUCUCUUUUAUUUGUUCUAAAGUUUGUCUCUUCUGUUGGUGUUUGUAUGUUUUUGCUUGAAAUGCAAAAAAGUGCUGCAGUAGCUGUGUUUUCAAAAGGAGAAAGCUCUUUAAGACUAUGGAUGGGCUGCUGGAAUAGGAGACUGAUCUUGAAAGUCAUGGCCUGGAGCAGGAGAAGCUUCACUUUGAGUUGUAUUGUUUCUGUUGGGGUUAGCUAUGUCUACAUAUAUAGAGCUUACUUAUCCACUGAACAUGAACGAGUUCAAUUCCAUUAUGGGAAUCGAGAAAAGCUCUCAAAUAGAUGAUUGCCAGAACCAAUUGGAAAGAAGUUUCAUAACGAGUUCAAUUCCAUUAUGGGAAUCGAGAAAAGCUCUCAAAUAGAUGACUGCCAGAACCAAUUGGAAAGAAGUUUCAUGUGAGAAGAUGAAUCUCUACUAUGUUUCAUAUUACUAUACAAGAAUUCAAGGAAUUUAAAUAUAGUUAUCUUUGAUUAGAGAAGAAGCCUUUUAGCUUAUUGGCUUUGAGGAUCUUAUAAGAAACGAGGUUAUGAAGGAUACUACUGAGACAACUUUCUUCAAUUAGGAGGAGGUUAAAGCUUAUUAAAUUGUUUAAGGGAGAAAAAUCUUAAUAAGUUAUGUCACCUGCAAAUGCAAAAGGCCAAACAUAACAUGAGUUGGUAAUGGGGAGCUGGACGAUUGGCAUUGAGAGUAUGUUAGUGGCAUUAUUAGAAGAAAAUUCCCCUCUUAACAUGGUUUCAAUGAUUCAUGUUAUUUUGUCAAAAAAAUUGUUUGUUGUAUUUAAUUUAAUAAUUUGAUUAUUA